rnacentral:rRNA from 1 species
UACGGGGGGGCAAGCGUUGUUCGGAAUUACUGGGCGUAAAGGGCUCGUAGGCGGCCAUCUAAGUCAGACGUGAAAUCCCUCAGCUUAACUGGGGAACUGCGUCUGAUACUGGAUGGCUUGAGUUUGGGAGAGGGACGCGGAAUUCCAGGUGUAGCGGUGAAAUGCGUAGAUAUCUGGAGGAACACCGGUGGCGAAGGCGGCGACCUGGGUCGAGACUGACGCUGAGGCGCGAAAGCGUGGGGAGCAAACAGG